rnacentral:rRNA from 1 species
AGUGGCGGACGGGUGAGUAACACGUAAGAAUUUGCCUUUAGGAGGGGGACAACAACUAGAAAUGGUUGCUAAUACCCCAUAUGCUUUCGAGUGAAAUGGAUUUUUCCGCCUAGAGAGAAGCUUGCGGCUGAUUAGCUUGUUGGUGAGAUAAUGGCUCACCAAGGCGACGAUCAGUAUCUGGUUUGAGAGGACGAUCAGACACACUGGAACUGAGACACGGUCCAGACUCCUACGGGAGGCAGCAGUGGGGAAUUUUCCGCAAUGGGCGAAAGCCUGACGGAGCAAUACCGCGUGAGGGAUGACGGCCUAUGGGUUGUAAACCUCUUUUUUCAGGGAGGAAUCAAUGACGUGUACCUGAAGAAUAAGCAUCGGCUAACUCCGUGCCAGCAGCCGCGGUAAGACGGGGGAUGCAAGUGUUAUCCGGAAUCACUGGGCGUAAAGCGUCUGUAGGUGGUCCAAUAAGUCAACUGUUAAAUCUUGAGGCUCAACCUCAAAAUCGCAGUCGAAACUAUUAGACUAGAGUAUAGUAGGGGUAAAGGGAAUUUCCAGUGGAGCGGUGAAAUGCGUAGAGAUUGGAAAGAACACCGAUGGCGAAGGCACUUUACUGGGCUAUUACUAACACUCAGAGACGAAAGCUAGGGUAGCAAAUGGGAUUAGAUACCCCAGUAGUCCUAGCCGUAAACAAUGGAUACUAGAUGUU